rnacentral:lncRNA from 1 species
CCACAGUCCCUCCCCGAGAGCCAUGGUUUCCACAAGCACAGAGGCUGCUUUGGAGACAGUAGAUCAUUUUCAUCCCCAACACCAAACACACUCCUGCUCAGAUGGCAUUAUUCCUAAAGCAGCCUCGCUGGUUAGACUGAAGGGCCACGGUAGCCCAAGUGAUGAGCGGGGUAGAACGGAGCAGUCAGGAGAGAUCUUGUUCCCCAUAGGAAACUGGGCAUCUCUGUGGCCCUGAGCAUCCCAGGAGGCCGAUCGUACAGAGACCUCUGGUGCCUGAUCCCAGUUCGCAUCCACAUCCCUGGAAUAGCCCACGAUGGGCCCUUCACCCUUGGCAGGUGGACACCAUUCAACCUGCCAGGGCAGGAUGGACAUGGUAGAGGACGUGGAUAGUUUGUGGGCACAGGACCGAGAGGACAUCAUUAUAAACUAUGAGAAGGUACCAGUCAAUCUGCUUCUUGGAGGGAGGUGCACUCUUCCAGUGCACCCUGGUCAAAGGGUCCUGGGCUCCCUAGGAGCACAGGGUGGGGACGGGUGGCCACUACCCCCAGGCCCUUGCACCCUUUACCUUGCACCCCUCACCAAGGCUCCCUCUGGGAUACAGGGACACCGAGCUGGGCUGCCAGAGGAUAUGGGGCCUGAGCCUGUUGGAAACUACAACAACAUUGAUCACUUUGGAAUUUUGCAGUGAGUCCUCUGUGCUCCCCUCACCCCUAAAGCACCUGUCUCAGCUCAGGGAUGGGUUUGCUUUUAGAAAGGCCUUUCUGAGGUAGGACAUGUCCUGCCAGGUCGGGUCAACCUCCUUUCCAGGGUCAGAACUCCUCCUUGGUUUCCCUGCAGGUCCAGACCCAGGUUCCGGUUAGGCCAGAGGUGCGGGGCCCAUCUAGGGAGCGGGUGGGAAUGGAGACUGGCCUAGGUCAGGCCCCUGGACUCUCAGCAGUUCUGUUCACCAGUUAGCACAAGAGGAGCGGGGCAGCCUGAGGGUCUGGCCCUGUCUACCUGGAGACAACCCAGUGAGAUCCAAGUGUUGUGGCCACAGGGUGAGGGGACACCUGGCCCCACUUUCGGGCUGUUGUCCAGUAGGUCUCUGAGGAACCACCUGCCCCUGUCCUCCCCCAAUUUCCCUAGAGCUACAGCCCUCACCGUCCCCAUGGGGAAG